rnacentral:rRNA from 1 species
AUGGGUUUCUAUAGUCUACAUGAAUCCCUACAUCAUGAGGUCACCAAACUUCUCUCCAGAUUCUUCUGGGCUAGAGAGAACAAUAAACAGAAGUAUCACAUGGUGAAGUGGUCUGAGAUAUGUAAGCCUAAAGACCAGGGAGGCCUUGGGGUCAUUUCGUCCAAGCGGAUGAAUAUUGCUCUUCUCUCUAAAUGGCUUUGGCGAAUUCAGGCCGAUGAGGACGGCCUCUGGCUUGAGAUUAUCUGGGCAAAGUACCUCCGCGGGCAACCGCUAGCCUUUGCCCCUAGAUCUGGAGGGUCCCAAUUCUCGCAAUCGGCCAUCCGUCUGAUGCAAACAUUGCGCAUUGGGACCUCCAUUAAGGUGGGUACUGGUUUCGGCACCCUCUUUUGGCUGGAUAGGUGGGCCAGGACCCGUCCCUUCGCUGAGCGCUUUUCUGCGAUAUUCUCGAUCUGUGUCCGUCCGCACCUAUUGGUAGCGGCGGCUUUAGCUGACCUGGGUGCUAUUGCCUUCCGCCGUACCUUCGGGGCGGUGGACCUCGAGCAAUGGGAUGAAUUGCUUGAGUGUAUUGCCCUUCACUCCCCUCCCUGGAGCCCGACUCGUUGUCUUGGCAUCUCGAGCCAAGUGGCCAAUUCUCGACUAGAUAUCUUUACCAGGCGAUUGUUCCUACCCCUGGCCCGGUGGAGCUAUCGGUUCUUUGGGAGAUCAAACUACCCUUAA